AGAUGUGCUUUUUAAUAUCGUUUCUUAGUGAAUAUUGUGCCUUGCGUUCUGAAUCUAAGUAGUAUGAAUUCUCAUUUCCUAAGUGAAUUUUAUGUUUAGGCUGGUGCUGAAGGUGUGUAUCAUUUGGUAGCAGAAGGGGUCUACUUGGUGCUGACAUCAUCUCAGGACAUGAUACUUUGAAAAACUGUUCAGUCAAUCUUAUGCCUUUUAUUUCAAAUUGUAGGACUGCGCUGUCCAGUACAGCCACUAGCCGGAAAACAAAAACAAACAAAAAAAAAACCUGUUGCCGUGGAGUCCAUUCCGACUCAUAGUGACCCUGUAGGACAGAGGAGAACUGCCCCCAUAAGGUUUCCACGGAGCAGCUAGUGAAUUCGAACUGCGGAUCUUUUGAAAAAGCAGCUCAGCUAAGAUGAAUUAUUUGGAGGAAAGCAGGAUGAGGUCUGAAUAAGUACAGGGAAAUUUUGGAUUGGGAAUGGUGAAGUUCAGAAGGAACCUACUUUCUUCAUAAACAUGGUGAUCACUACAGAGACUAUUUUGCAUGUUCUCGUGAAUUACUGGAGUCCUGGUGCCGUAGUGGUUAAGAACCCAGCUGCUAACCAGAAGGUCGGCAGUUUGAAUCUACCAGCCACUCCUUGGAAACGCUGUGAGGCAGUUCUGCUCUGUCCUGUUGGGUCCUUAUGAGUCGGAAUCGACUCGGCAGCCUCAAGUUUCAGGACUUGUGGAAUUAAAGAGAGAGAUGCCUGAAAACUAGAGACAGAGAAGUGUAUUUUUUAGAAAGGGGAAGAAGGAAGACUGUAGAGCUUGAUAUGGCCCUCAGGAUUUGUUUUCAGGAGGAAAGGAAGACAUCUCAGGAUCCCAUUUUGAGGGUCUUUUGGCUACAUAUUCACUGUCAGAACAUUUUCUCCAAGAGUCCUGGGCCAGACACCUGGAUUUCCAGAUGGGUUUUGUAGUCAAGGAGAUUUUAGAGAGGGGAGGUGUUUCAGUUACGUAGAAAAGUUCAGUUAUCUAAAGAAUUUAUUUUAUAAAAUACCACAAAACUUUGUGACUUAAAACAACAGCAAUUUAUUAUUUUUCAUGAUUUUGUGGACUGACUAGUAUCGACUGAGUGGUUUUGUUCCACAUGGUAUAGCUGAGGUCACUCAUGGGCUACAUUUAGCUGGAAGCCUGGCUUGGACUAGGACAUCUAAGAUGGCCUCUCAUCCUCUAAUACCUCUCACCAUUCGGUAAUCUAGCCCAAGUUUCUUCACACCAUGGCAUUUAGCUUCCAAGAAGGAACAUUUCAAGAGGACAAGCCCCAAUAUGCAAGCACUAACGAAGCCUCUGCUGGCAUCAUUUUGCUAAUGUCUCAUUGGCCAAAGCAAAUCACAUGAUCAAGUCCAGAGUCAGUGUGGGAGGGGGCUACACAAGGGUGCAAACACCAGGAGGUUUUGUUCACUGGAGACCACCACUAUAACAAUUUACCACAAGUGAGCAGGGCAGUUUUGCACACUGGGUCUCCUCAGUUGUCAGUGCUUAGGUAUGGAUGCGUAACCUAAGAUUUGGUCCUUGACUUUGAAAUUCCAGAAACUCUGUGUGAUUAGGGGUUCAUGCUUAGCCCCAUGCCUUUAUCUGAAAUUGUCUCUCAUCAUCACUCGAAGAUGUGAAUUUAGGUUGUCGUAGUUUUAUCUCAAGACUCUGUCUUGGCCACAGGUGGUUGAACCAGAGUGGACACCUGACCUAUGACUCUGUUGGCUGAGCUGGCCCAAUUGGACUUUCUCCUAUGACUUUUGAAUGGGAAUACUGAGAGACUAAGACCCAAACUGGUGAAGAGAUUAUAGAAGAUCUCCUAGAUACUCUAAAAUGAGUUUGGAAGAAUAUCUAAACUCCUGAGAUGACUAGAAAAUGAGACUGCUAAACCAUAGUUAUUAAGAGAUUGGCUGCUAACCAAAAGGUUGGCAGUUUGAAUCCACCAGCUGCUUCUUGGAGACCCUAUGGGCAGUUCUACUUUGUCCUAUAGGGUCGCUAUGAGUUGGAAUCAACUUGAUGGCAACAGGUAUUCACUAGUGGAUAUAUGUUUUUGCUCAUUAUGCUCCAUGACAAUAUCUAGCUGCAAGGGAGGCUGGGAAAUGUAAUCUCUAGCUGAGUAGCCAUGCACCCAACUACUAUGGAAGAAGGAGAAAAUGUAUUUUAGUGAACACUUAGUUGCUGCCUCCUUCCCCCCAACCCCUUCCCCACACAACAUAGUGUUCAAUUCAUGGUUACCUUUCAGAAGGGAGAAAGACAAGAGUGUAUUUCGAGGGAGUAAACAGGAUGAUGAAGGCCUCAAAAUCAGGUCAUAAGCAGAUUGGUUGAAAACUUGGGGAUUGUUAUAGUGAAUAUUUAGAAAAUGAAAUGGCUGCCUUUGAAUGUUGUACGUGCAAAAAGAGGUAAAGGUUAUUCUCUAAAGGCUCCAGGAGUAAAUAUAAUAAGAGGAAGCUAACCAGUAACCAGUUGCCAUCAAGUCAGUUCUUGACUCAUGGCUCAGAGAAAUGUAUUUAUGUUCAUUAAAAGAAAAGAAGAUUCUAGCAGAGUUGUCCAGAAUGAUUUACACCUCAGGUACGUUGUGAACUAGAAGAGACCAAAAACAACAACAAAAAAAAUCAUUUAUUGAGUACCUAUUAUGUGCUCAGCACUAUUGAGGCACUUUCACAGAUUUGUUGCUUCCAACUCUGAGAGUCUGUUGCAACUCCACAUACUUUUCUCCAAACCCUAUUUUUUGUGACUUACUGACAAGCCUGCAAAGAACAUACAUGAGUUAAAUUUGUGGGGUAGAACAUCCUAUGGGGGGAGACCCUGGAGGGUGUUGUGUAUGUUCAAUGUUGUGGGUUCUGUGGUGGAUGGAGAAAGUUGGCCAGGGUGGGGAAAGAAGUUAUUUUCUGAUUCUCAGCAGAAACCUGAGAUCUUCCAGAAGGGGUUAUAUCGUCCUGACCAGCAUAACUUUGUGGUGGCCCUCAUGUCUGCCGUGUUACCACAUUGGUGAGCCUAGAGAAUGCUGCCAAGAAGUGUGAGAGGGCUGCUCUGAAAGCUCAAAUGUCCAGUGUCUUCCACACACCUUUUGUAGGUACUAGUGGGAGACAAGAUGCCUUUCCUGAUAUGAGUUCCAGGUUCUUUACUGGAGUCUACAAGAGUGCUUUGUUAUUCCUUGUACUUCUGGAUCCAAAGUUCUAAGGGAACGGAGGGGCCCCCAAAUCUGCAAUUCACAUGAACAAAUUAAAGGGACAGAGUAACAGGAAAUGGGCCAGGGCGCAGAAACAAAGACAUUCCCCAGAACAAUGGGGCAGGGUAUCAGAAACUAGCCCACAAACUUCUUUAAAGUUGUCUCUCAGAAGCAACCGGAUGAAAUGAGCCCCAGAAACAUGCGUAGAACAUCCACCUGUGACCGCUGUGUGACCUUUCACCAGGGGCAGUGAAGGGCUGCAGCCGCAGCUGGGGAAUCAAACUCAGGGAGUGAGAAACUGCACAGUCAUGACACCCCAUAAGUCCUACUAUGAAUCCCAGAGGCCUAUGGGACAGGAGCCAUCUUAGAAAGCAGCUGCACGUGCACCUUAGGUAGCCUAUCCCCACCCAAAACGGGCUAGUUGUCGGAAAAUCCCGCCUAUGCCCCUGAAUAAACAUGAAUCUUUUUUCCGCUCAAGUAUUUUUUUAAAAUAAUUUUUACUGUGCUUUAAGUGAAAGUUUACAAAUCAAGUCAGUCUUUCACAUGUAAGCUUAUAUACACCUUACUCCAUACUCCCACUUACUGUCCCCGAGUCAGCUCACUCCCUCCUUCCAGCCUCUGCUUUCGUGAUGGUUUUGUCAGUUUCUAACCCUCUCUACCCUCCUAUCUCCCCUCCAGACAGGAGAUGCCAUCACAGUCUCAAGUGUCCACCUGAUACCAGUAGCUCACUCUUCAUCAGCAUCUCUUUCCAACCCAUUGUCCAGUCACUUCCAUGUCUGAUGAGUUGUCUUCAGGAAUGGUUCCUGUCCUGGGCCAACAGAAGGUUUGAGGACCAUGACUGCCGGGAUUCUUCUAGUCUCAGGCCAUUAAGUCUGGUCGUUUUAUGAGAAUUUGGGGUCUGCAUCCCACUGUUCUCGUGCUCCCUCAGGGGUUCUCUGUUGUGCUCCCUGUCAGGGCA